UGCAAAGACCGAAGCCUGUGUGUAAGCACACGUGGGCCGGGGCUGCUGGCAGGGCUGGGGUGGACCCUGGGGGGCUCCUCUCAUCAGGGAGCGAGCCAGACCCCAAAUGGUGGCGACGAUAGCAGAGCUGGCAGCAAAUGUGAAGAGCAGCCAAGCAAAGGUCAAAGCUGGAGAAGUGGCGGCAGGAGGGCAGAAGCGGGCAGAGGAGGGACACUAUAAGCAGCCAAAGGAAUCACGAGGCCAGAGAGGAGAAAACUGCAGUGGAUAAGAGGAAGGCUCUGAAGUCAGACUGCCUGGGAUCGAAAACAGGCUCCUGCCAGUUACACAUCAGGCAACCACUUCCUCCCUCUGAGCCUCCGUUUCCCUAAGAAGAAGGCAACGCUCGUGCCCAGCCCCACAAUAAAGUAUUCUUAUCUUGUAA